rnacentral:lncRNA from 1 species
CCGCGGAGCUGUGAGAGUGUGAGGGUCGCAUUCCUCCUGUCUGGACUUUUUCUGUCCUUCUACGCAGCCGUCUCAGCAACGAAAUAGUUUUCUCUGAGCAUGGGAUCUGGGAGGCAUUCUGUUCUUGGAGAAUAACAAGGAGGAGAAUAUCAUUCACUUCAGGCAUAAGACAAUGAACCUCGAAUACUACCCCGGACAACAAGGCUGCUUCAUCAGGACACAAAACUGCCUGUACCAGGACCUCUGAUCUGUGUACAGGUAUGUGAAUGUAUAGAUACAUGUAUUUUUGCUUUAAGAAGUUGGUGUACUGCAUGGUGAGA